CUGCCGCCGCCGUUCCAUGGAGCCGCCGCCAUUGUCGCGCGAACCGGAGGGUGUGGAGACGGAGAAGAGUGUGCACGAGAGAGGAGUAGCCACCAUCGUCGAGGACUCCAUCACCACCGCUGAAGGUCCUGACCGUCGAGCUCGUCGUCGCCGUCGCACCUCCCAUCACUGCUGCCACUAAAGAGCUCGAAGAGAAAGAAAGGGUUCGCGCGGAGAAAGAAACACGAUGUGGGAGGAGGAGGUUGCCUCUGUUGCUGCCAAGCCGUCGCUGGCGGGGUUGGGUUCGCCGUCGCUGUUGAGCUGUGCGCCGCCGUUGGUAUUUGGAUCGCCACUCUGUUUCAGCUGCAACUCGCCACUGUACUGCCAUCAGACAUGGAUGUACGUAUUGAUCUCUGAAUUAAAGCUUACUUGUGUAUAUAAGAUUCUUGAAAUGGACACCUAUAGAUACCACGGGCACUCUAUGUCUGAUCCUGGCAGCACAUACCGUACAUGUGACAAGAUUUCCAAUGAGAGACAAGAGCGUGAUCCAAUUGAGAGAGUGAGGAAGCUAUUAUUGGCUCAUGACAUUGCUUCUGAGAAGGAGCUGAAGGUAUCAGACUUGACUUAAAGAAUUAUGGGCUACGUUAUAUUUUUUGUGGCUUCCACUUUGGAGUUUGUAAAUGGAUUCGAGUCCUCUCAUAGGGAUUAUAGAUCUUAUUAUAGACAUUGAUGAAAGAGUAUGAAAGGGCUGCGCUUCAUCUUGAUAAAGUUAAGCUGGUCUUACGGAGAUUAAUUGAUGUUCAAAAAGCAAAGGCUUAUGCAUCAAAAGAUGACCCUUUGGAGUUAUGCUCACCUGUGACAAAAGUUACUCUUGUGGCUGAGGUGAUGCUUUCUCUGCUCUAGUCAAAUGUUGAUGGCUACAUGAAAAUAAGAUACAUGAAUAUAGCAUGUUAACAAAAAAAUCCAGUUAUUUUAUCCCCAAAAACAAAAUGCAGUUAGUAUUGAUGGUUCACUUUAUUUUAUUUUGGAUAUUUUAUACAUUUCCUACCAUUAUGAUUUGCAACUUGGUCUGUGCGAUGGUUCGCUUUAGUUUGCCUAUGUCUUUGGUAUGAACUACAGUGGCUGUAGAAUUCCUAUGUUAAUCUUGAUGUGAUAUUAAAACCAUUAUGUACUCCCAAGUCUCCAACAUUUCUUUCAAUUCAUGAAAAGAGGGUUGGGUUAGGUUAG